rnacentral:rRNA from 1 species
GUUAAGCGACUAAGCGUACACGGUGGAUGCCCUGGCAGUCAGAGGCGAUGAAGGACGUGCUAAUCUGCGAUAAGCGUCGGUAAGGUGAUAUGAACCGUUAUAACCGGCGAUUUCCGAAUGGGGAAACCCAGUGUGUUUCGACACACUAUCAUUAACUGAAUCCAUAGGUUAAUGAGGCGAACCGGGGGAACUGAAACAUCUAAGUACCCCGAGGAAAAGAAAUCAACCGAGAUUCCCCCAGUAGCGGCGAGCGAACGGGGAGCAGCCCAGAGCCUGAAUCAGUGUGUGUGUUAGUGGAAGCGUCUGGAAAGGCGCGCGAUACAGGGUGACAGCCCCGUACACAAAAAUGCACAUGCUGUGAGCUCGAUGAGUAGGGCGGGACACGUGGUAUCCUGUCUGAAUAUGGGGGGACCAUCCUCCAAGGCUAAAUACUCCUGACUGACCGAUAGUGAACCAGUACCGUGAGGGAAAGGCGAAAAGAACCCCGGCGAGGGGAGUGAAAAAGAACCUGAAACCGUGUACGUACAAGCAGUGGGAGCACGCUUAGGCGUGUGACUGCGUACCUUUUGUAUAAUGGGUCAGCGACUUAUAUUCUGUAGCAAGGUUAACCGAAUAGGGGAGCCGAAGGGAAACCGAGUCUUAACUGGGCGUUAAGUUGCAGGGUAUAGACCCGAAACCCGGUGAUCUAGCCAUGGGCAGGUUGAAGGUUGGGUAACACUAACUGGAGGACCGAACCGACUAAUGUUGAAAAAUUAGCGGAUGACUUGUGGCUGGGGGUGAAAGGCCAAUCAAACCGGGAGAUAGCUGGUUCUCCCCGAAAGCUAUUUAGGUAGCGCCUCGUGAAUUCAUCUCCGGGGGUAGAGCACUGUUUCGGCAAGGGGGUCAUCCCGACUUACCAACCCGAUGCAAACUGCGAAUACCGGAGAAUGUUAUCACGGGAGACACACGGCGGGUGCUAACGUCCGUCGUGAAGAGGGAAACAACCCAGACCGCCAGCUAAGGUCCCAAAGUCAUGGUUAAGUGGGAAACGAUGUGGGAAGGCCCAGACAGCCAGGAUGUUGGCUUAGAAGCAGCCAUCAUUUAAAGAAAGCGUAAUAGCUCACUGGUCGAGUCGGCCUGCGCGGAAGAUGUAACGGGGCUAAACCAUGCACCGAAGCUGCGGCAGCGACGCUGAUGCGUUGUUGGGUAGGGGAGCGUUCUGUAAGCCUGCGAAGGUGUGCUGUGAGGCAUGCUGGAGGUAUCAGAAGUGCGAAUGCUGACAUAAGUAACGAUAAAGCGGGUGAAAAGCCCGCUCGCCGGAAGACCAAGGGUUCCUGUCCAACGUUAAUCGGGGCAGGGUGAGUCGACCCCUAAGGCGAGGCCGAAAGGCGUAGUCGAUGGGAAACAGGUUAAUAUUCCUGUACUUGGUGUUACUGCGAAGGGGGGACGGAGAAGGCUAUGUUGGCCGGGCGACGGUUGUCCCGGUUUAAGCGUGUAGGCUGGUUUUCCAGGCAAAUCCGGAAAAUCAAGGCUGAGGCGUGAUGACGAGGCACUACGGUGCUGAAGCAACAAAUGCCCUGCUUCCAGGAAAAGCCUCUAAGCAUCAGGUAACAUCAAAUCGUACCCCAAACCGACACAGGUGGUCAGGUAGAGAAUACCAAGGCGCUUGAGAGAACUCGGGUGAAGGAACUAGGCAAAAUGGUGCCGUAACUUCGGGAGAAGGCACGCUGAUAUGUAGGUGAAGUCCCUUGCGGAUGGAGCUGAAAUCAGUCGAAGAUACCAGCUGGCUGCAACUGUUUAUUAAAAACACAGCACUGUGCAAACACGAAAGUGGACGUAUACGGUGUGACGCCUGCCCGGUGCCGGAAGGUUAAUUGAUGGGGUCAGCGCAAGCGAAGCUCUUGAUCGAAGCCCCGGUAAACGGCGGCCGUAACUAUAACGGUCCUAAGGUAGCGAAAUUCCUUGUCGGGUAAGUUCCGACCUGCACGAAUGGCGUAAUGAUGGCCAGGCUGUCUCCACCCGAGACUCAGUGAAAUUGAACUCGCUGUGAAGAUGCAGUGUACCCGCGGCAAGACGGAAAGACCCCGUGAACCUUUACUAUAGCUUGACACUGAACAUUGAGCCUUGAUGUGUAGGAUAGGUGGGAGGCUUUGAAGUGUGGACGCCAGUCUGCAUGGAGCCGACCUUGAAAUACCACCCUUUAAUGUUUGAUGUUCUAACGUGGACCCGUGAUCCGGGUUGCGGACAGUGUCUGGUGGGUAGUUUGACUGGGGCGGUCUCCUCCUAAAGAGUAACGGAGGAGCACGAAGGUUGGCUAAUCCUGGUCGGACAUCAGGAGGUUAGUGCAAUGGCAUAAGCCAGCUUGACUGCGAGCGUGACGGCGCGAGCAGGUGCGAAAGCAGGUCAUAGUGAUCCGGUGGUUCUGAAUGGAAGGGCCAUCGCUCAACGGAUAAAAGGUACUCCGGGGAUAACAGGCUGAUACCGCCCAAGAGUUCAUAUCGACGGCGGUGUUUGGCACCUCGAUGUCGGCUCAUCACAUCCUGGGGCUGAAGUAGGUCCCAAGGGUAUGGCUGUUCGCCAUUUAAAGUGGUACGCGAGCUGGGUUUAGAACGUCGUGAGACAGUUCGGUCCCUAUCUGCCGUGGGCGCUGGAGAACUGAGGGGGGCUGCUCCUAGUACGAGAGGACCGGAGUGGACGCAUCACUGGUGUUCGGGUUGUCAUGCCAAUGGCACUGCCCGGUAGCUAAAUGCGGAAGAGAUAAGUGCUGAAAGCAUCUAAGCACGAAACUUGCCCCGAGAUGAGUUCUCCCUGACUCCUUGAGAGUCCUGAAGGAACGUUGAAGACGACGACGUUGAUAGGCCGGGUGUGUAAGCGCAGCGAUGCGUUGAGCUAACCGGUACUAAUGAACCGUGAGGCUUAACCUUACAACGCCGAAGCUGUU